ACAGGCCACCUCGGGGGUCAGUGGCGCCAUCUAUUUCCAGAGCCCAGCAGAAAGACCAGACAUGUCCAGGAGUCCCACGUCUCAGGUUUCUGACCAGUGACAUCAUGAAGAUGUUUGUUCUCCUCUGCAGCGGAGCUGAGGAAUGAGGACAGUGUCGUCGGUGACUAAUCUGUCGUCCUCCCCCGUCGUCCACAUGUGGAGAGGAAGUGAACGGCUGAAGAAGAACCGGACGAUGACUCAACGUCUAUUAUCCAUAAUACGCCUUCACCUGCUGAGGUUUUCAUUAUGGACUUUCAAAUGGAGAAAAAAAAAAGGAGUCAGAGCACCUCCGCAGAAGGAAAAACCAGGAAAAACAGUCAAGUGUUAGCGCCAAGUCAGACGACAUCACAGGGGAACAGGCUUUAAACCAGGGGUCUGCGACCACAUGGACCCCCAGGAUGAUGGGAUGAUGAUCGGGGAGAUUAUAUAUAUCAUCAGGAAACUCCUCACAGCACAGCAGCAAACAAAAAUCUCACCAAAAGUAUAUGGAAUGAAA